UGGCACAUAAGCACAUGAAAAGACGUUCAACAACAUUAGUCAUUAGGGCAAUGCAAAUUAAAACCACAAUGAGGUAUCACUACACACCUUUCAGAAUGGCUAAAAUGAAAAACUGUAACAGUACCAAAUGUUGGCAAGGAUGUGGAGAAA